UAUGGCGAAAUUGGUAGACGCAACGGACUUAAAUCCGUCGACGUUAAAAGUCGUGAGGGUUCAAGUCCCUCUAUCCCCA
rnacentral:tRNA from 1 species